GAAAAUCAAGAAGAGAGCAUAUAUAUUAUAUCCAAACGGGAGAAGGAAAAAGGACCAACUAUACAAAUAAAUCCCUCUCAAGACCUGAUAAGGUCAGUACUAAAGCCACUACUAACAGGUACCCAGAGACUAGACAAAAAUCUAAAAUGUACAUAAUAUACACAAACAGUCUCAAGUGCAAAAGGCAAACUAAAAUAGAUAAAAGAGGAUCAGCCUCAGACGACAGCAAACUCCCUCUGCUCUGAAUCAGUACUCGAAGGUAGGAAUUACGUCAACGUCAACUGCUAGUACCCGGAUCUGCAUCAGGAAAAAAAUGCAGAAGUGUAGUAUGAGUACCAAAGCAACGGGUACUCAAAAGGCAUCGUCGGCCGACUGAGCUCAAUAUAGAAAAGGUAUAUCUACAAUGCGAGGAUGUAAUCCAAGUCAAUAGUAAACAGGGACAAAAAGGGUAAACAACUGUCAAGCUACGCCAAUAAUAUAAAGAAAUAAAUGUAAGCGAUACAAAAAUAAAUAAUCCAGUAAUGACAGACAUAUCAAACAUAACCUAGCUGGGGCCCCAUAAGCCCGCUAGGUACAUUGAAGAAGACAAUUAACCCAACCGUACCCCCAUAAGCCGAUGGGACACAUAAGUAAUGAAAAUAAACAUAAAUAAUCUAUAACUGUGCUAAUCCCAAUAAAUCAUGAUAGUCAUCCAGAUGUGCACUAAACUUGAACCGGGACCAAUUGGUAGUCAUGAGAGGUCAGACACCGGACUCGAAUCGAUAGUAAUGGAUAAUAACAAGAAGACACGUGCCAAAUUCGAACUGGACAUAGUGGGUAAUAACGAUAGGCCACAUAUAUAUAACUCAUAAUCAAAUGUCGAACUCAAAUCAAAACUCAAAGGAACCUCAACCAUAAUUAGAUCCUGAACUCGAAUCGAAACUCAUAGUAACAAUAAUAAUCAAAUACCGGACUCGAACUGAAACUCAUAGUAAUAAUAAUAAUCAAAUGUCAGACUCGAACCGAAACUCAUAGUAACCAUGCCCAACGGUAAUGUUAAAAUUCACACCAUACCAUAACAAUAUCAACGUCUAAAUAAUUAUCAACCAAUCUUAAUUAAAAAGGGAUACAUUCAAGAUUUUGCAAUUUAAUUUCACGUCUUAAAAUAAUAGAUGUUAUAUUAUAUUAAAAGAUAAUAUUUCAAUAUUUACUAAAAUAGGGUCCUAAUCCGGAAAAAUAAGGGAUGCUAGAUAUCAAAUGGUGCGCAACUAUAAGUACUCAUCUAGAGCUAGCAUAAUAGUUUACAAUUUUGGUAAAUAAACUCAAUUUAAAGAUAGGAUAAACCUAAUCUACCUGAAUACCAAAGCUAUAAUAUCUUUUCGCAAAACCUCCAAAUAAUAUCCCACUAGAAAUCAAACUUGAAUAAUUGAUUAAUUUAUUGAUUCUCCCUUUCUUUUUUCACGGCACCCACUGGAUCAUAAAGCCAUAGACAUAAAACAGAGAGUAGUAAUUAGCGGAAAAUGUUUCUCUUUCCUUUUUAACUUAAAGCUGACAAGAAGUUACAAUUAACUUACUUCAAUAAUUUUGCCACACACAAAUCUUAAAUACUGGCCACAAAGGAAACUUUAAGGCACAAGGUAAUCCCUUCACUUCCACGUGGAAGUGGAGGUGCCACUAGUUCACUUUUAAUUACUCCGUUAUAUAUAUUCACAUAUUACAUAAACUUGUGAUAAAAUAAUUAUAAUAUUUUGAAUAUACCAUAAUUAAUAGAAAAAUAUUUUUAAUAAAACCUCUAUUAUGUAAUAAUAAUAUUUUAAUAUUUCUAAAAUUACUAUUUCCGCUUAAAGUAUUAAUAAAUCAUAAAAGUCUAUUAUAAAGUGAUAUAACUAUAUCAUCACUUAAAAAAUUUUACCAAUAUAAAAAAUAUUCUGAAAGGGUACUAAAUUAUAUUUUUACCAAUGUCAAAUUAAAUUAAAUAAUCCACAAUACAUUUAGAUAGUACUAAAAUUAUAUGAAAAUACAGGAAAAUGACCGUAAGGGUCAUUACAACAUCCACUACUAAAAGAACUUUUGUCCACGAAAGUAAAGGAUAAGGUCAUACCUGAAGGCUCAAACAGGUUUGGGUACUGGACGCGCAUAUCAUGCUCGAUUUCCUAGGUAGCCUCCUCAACUGGACGGUGACGCCACAUCACCAGGUAGUCCAGGGGACAACCCAGGCUCCACCCAAUUUUAUAUCCUGGCUCAUAGCUCCAGAUACUCUAUUCAUCCCGAAAUAGCUAAGAUGUAUAGGGAUUUGAAGCAGCAUUACUAGUGGAGUGGUAUGGGGAGAGAUAUAGCUGGGUUUGUGGCAAGAUUUCCUUAUUGGAGCAGAUUUGGAGUCGUCAGUUCGAGGAUAGCACACUUCGUAGCAUUCGAGAGAAUAUUUUAAUAUUUCUAAAAUUACUAUCUCCGCUUAAAAUAUUAAUAAAUCAUAAAAGUCAAUUAUAAAGUAAUAUAAAUAUAUCAUCACUUAAAGAAUUUUAGCAAUAUCGAAAAUAUUCUAGAAGGGUACUAAAUUAUAUUUCUACCAAUGUCAAAUUAAAUUAAAUAAUUCACGAUACAUUUAGAUAGUACUAAAAUUAUAUGAAAAUAUAGGAAAAUGACCGUAAGGUCAUUACAAUUACAAACCCUAAAGAUCAUGUUUAAGUAAGGUCUACUAAAAAAAAUACAAUCAUACAAUAAAGUACAAUACAUUAAAAAUAGAGAACUUACCGAAAGUUUAUCCAUCUUCCUUUUCCUGUCAAGAGAAGGAAAGAUAUGUUCAAAGAGAGAGAAGAGAAAUGAAAAAAUGAGCUUCAAGGGAGAGAAACGCGAUCCAAAAGGGAAAAAUUAUACUUUUAUUAUGUAAAUAAAGGAAGAACGAUCAUUUAGUUAAAGUUUUUUUUGCGGGGGACAAAAAUGUAAAGCUAGCCAUGAAGGCCAAAAAUUGGAAGUCACCCUUUU
rnacentral:lncRNA from 1 species